rnacentral:rRNA from 1 species
UACAGAGGUCCCGAGCGUUGUUCGGAUUCACUGGGCGUAAAGGGUGCGUAGGUGGUUGGGCAAGUCUGAUGUGAAAUCUCCGGGCUUAACCCGGAAAUGGCAUUGGAAACUGCCUGGCUAGAGUGUUGGAGGGGGGACUGGAAUUCUCGGUGUAGCAGUGAAAUGCGUAGAUAUCGAGAGGAACACCAGUGGCGAAGGCGAGUCCCUGGACAACGACUGACACUGAGGCACGAAAGCUAGGGGAGCAAACAGG